CUUCAAAACAAGGUCUCCCUGAGGGCCGUGGCAGACCACCACGUCGAUAGGCCAGAGGUGUAAGAGCGGUAACGCUUUCAGCUGACUGGUACUAAUUGCCCGAUAGGCUUGAUUUG
rnacentral:rRNA from 1 species